ACCGCUGCAAUUCCCUGGAGCCAGAUGAAGCAACAACCUCCCUAUCACCUCGGCCUCUAUUAGUGCACGCUAUAUAAAUUCCCGAGUCUCGCUGGCGCUACCAAACCCUUCGUACGCCGCUUGUGUUCUGACCGCCACCAUGAAUCGUGCGAGAGAGAAACCCACCGCCGUUGACGAUCACCUAUGAAGACGCUCGGGGUCUAGGAUUAAGCCUCAGGGCUUCAUGGUGCCGUGAGGGAGUGGGUGUUUCCCCAAUCGAUGGGAUCAUCGACCAGACAGUCGGGAAUCACACGUCAAAGUUCUAGAAAGCUGUUGAGGUGUGGACCAUCGUGGACUGGGCGACAACCGUGUAGAAAUCAGGUGAAGAGCAGGUACCUACGACGAGUUUGAUGAAAUCUAGGCGUCGUCUUCCAGUUAACUAUGGCAACGUGGAGAUAGUUAUCUAGUUCAAUUUAAAUUAUUAUCAUUUAUUUUGUAAGACAUUCUCGUUAUGUAAUAAAUAUUAUGAUAUUCAUAUUUAUACACUAAGUCAUUGUAUGUGUGGAUCUUA